ensembl:lncRNA
GGGAAGGCAGGGCCAACCCAGGGGAGUUGCUCAGGUGUAUCUAAUGCACCUGAGUGACCAGAAGGGAUGGGGCCAGGAUCCAUCUCUUCCCAGACCUCAUUUAAGGGUCAGCAGUGAAGGUGAGAGUAUCUUGCUGGAGAUCCCUGCCUACUUGAGGCCAUCUGAAGAAAUUGAGUGUGACACCUCUGCUCCCUACGUGCUUCCAUGUCAGAUGCUGCUCUGUCAGACCGCCCCUCUGCUGCUAUCAGUCCCACGGCAACAACGUGUAAUGAGACAGCGGUAGGAAGGUUCAACCUCUGCUGUCGUACCUCCAACAUCUGCCUCUGGCACUGUGGGCCAGCAGAAUAACACAGGGAGCGUGACUUCUGGAGCAGCCCUCCUCGUGUCAGCAGCUGUGUGCCCUUAUGUAAAUUUCCCUCCACCGGUGCUUCCUGAGCAAUCUCUUUCCUUAAUGACAACCACUUAUGACCAUUUCUGAUUAUGAACACGACUUUCGGUUCCUGCUGCGUGCUGCUCACAUCCUCACAGAGGCGUGCUGCACCUGAGCGCGCUGACAGUGACACGUUGUCCAUCUCAUUCCUCUCCUAACGUUCACUGUAGCUGUGCCUUUUAGUCGCGCACGGCGCCGUGUUCUGGCAGGGAUGGGGUGCGGAGCUGCUGUGGCGCGCGGCGCUGUUACGCUCCGCUGGGCUGCGUCCGAUGCUGGGAGCGCGGCGGCUGAGUGAGUUAUGGGGUAAUUCGAGUGCAAUUUGUUCCACGUGGAAUACAAAGGGCAGGAAAGAAACCAACGGGACAACCUCAUGUUAUUUACACAUAAGCAGUGCAGAUGUUUACCUAAACAUAGGCGUCUGUUUACUACUUGAAUAUUAAAUAUUUACGUAACCGUACAAAAACACCUGAUAAGCAGCCUGCGGCGCACCCAGCCAGCACCGAACAAACGCCGUCUCUCCCAGGCAGCGCUGCCGGCGUGUCGCUGUCGCUGCCCUUCGGCUGCAGCCGGGACUCGUACGCUUUUAC